UACGGAGGGGGCAAGCGUUGUCCGGAAUCAUUGGGCGUAAAGAGCGUGUAGGCGGCCAGAAAAGUCCGCUGUGAAAACUCGAGGCUCAACUUCGAGCUGUCGGUGGAAACUUUCUGGCUAGAGUCCGGAAGAGGAGAAUGGAAUUCCUGGUGUAGCGGUGAAAUGCGCAGAUAUCAGGAAGAACACCCGUGGCGAAGGCGGUUCUCUGGGACGGUACUGACGCUGAGACGCGAAAGCGUGGGGAGCGAACAGG
rnacentral:rRNA from 1 species